rnacentral:rRNA from 1 species
GAUGAACGCUGGCGGCGUGCCUAAUACAUGCAAGUCGAGCGAACAGACGAGGAGCUUGCUCCUCUGACGUUAGCGGCGGACGGGUGAGUAACACGUGGAUAACCUACCUAUAAGACUGGGAUAACUUCGGGAAACCGGAGCUAAUACCGGAUAAUAUAUUGAACCGCAUGGUUCAAUAGUGAAAGACGGUUUUGCUGUCACUUAUAGAUGGAUCCGCGCCGCAUUAGCUAGUUGGUAAGGUAACGGCUUACCAAGGCAACGAUGCGUAGCCGACCUGAGAGGGUGAUCGGCCACACGGGAACUGAGACACGGUCCAGACUACUACGGGACGCAGCAGUAGGGAAUCUGCCGCAAAGGUCGAAAGCCUGACGGAGCAACGCCGCGUGAGUGAUGAAGGUCUUCGGAUCGUAAAACUCUGUUAUGAGGGAAGAACAAAUGUGUAAGUAACUAUGCACGUCUUGACGGUACCUAAUCAGAAAGCCACGGCUAACUACGUG